rnacentral:lncRNA from 1 species
ACUCACCGUCCACCACUGCUGUUUGCUGCCAUCGCAGACUUGCCACUGACUUCCACCCCUCCAGAUCCAGCAGGGUGUCUGCUGCUCUCCUGAUCCAGCGAGGUGCUCAUUGCCACUCCUGAUCGGGCUAAAGGCUCUCUAUCGUUCCUGCACAGCUAAGUGCCCGGGUUUGUCCUAAUUGAGCUGAACACUAGUCUCUCGGUUCCAUGGUUCUCUUCCGUGACCCAUGGCUUCUAAUAGAGCUAUAACACUCACUGCAUGGCCCAAGGUUCCAUUCCUUGGAAUCCAUGAGUCCAAGAACCCCAGGUCAGAGAACAAAAGGCUUGCUGCCAUCUUGGGAGUGGCCCGCCACAUCUUGGGAGAGCUAAGAACAAAGACCUGCCCGUAACAUUUGGUGGUAACCGUAUGGGAAUUCUCCAAAGAGGUCAUGGGUUUUGAAAUCUCACGUUAUUUGACAACACCUUCAAGAGAAGAAGAGUUAUGCCUGACUACUACUGGCAUUGUAGAUGGCAGAAUAUCUCAGGAUGGAUUCCCUACAGGACUCAUGAGCAGAUCUCAUAAUUUCUGGGCAUGUUCCACACCUUGGAGUAGGAAUCAGUUAGGGUUGUUCUUGGCUGCAACUAACAAACUACUAGCAGUGGCUUAAGCACGGAAGAACUUAAUGAUCUCACAGAGCCAGCAAUGCUUCUCCAGGGAACAAUUCCCUGAUACUGGAGAGUAGGAUCAGCUUGCCCAUUUGCACUCUUCCUUAGUGCCUGCCAUCACCUCUGCAACCAGGCUUUCUGCUGCUUGGGUUCUUUUGCCCGGUGGAUUGCAAUAAGAAAAUGGCUCAAGGUUGACUUUCUUCCAGCGAAUCUGUUGGCCGAUGGGGCACUCCUGCACUCCUGCUGCACCAUAUGAUGAAAGGCAGGCUGAUCUGCUGUGGUUUCUUGCUCCACUUUACCAUCUCACUCUAGUCAUUAUUGUAAUUCUUUUAAUUUAAGGACAUUCAAUGGGAGUUUUAUUUAGAAUACCUAAGAAUUCCAAAUGGAUCAAAUCUCAGUGAUAGGGAAAUGGUUUAAUAAAAUGUAAUUCAAUUUUACAAUAAAAUAAUUUGUGGUCACUAAAAAU